ensembl:lncRNA
GUCAGCAGCAGGCCCGUUGAAGUGGAAGUACUCUGCAAUCCUGUCUUUCCUCGGCCCAUUUGUUACUUCGAGGGAGACCAGUAGCAAUAUGGUGCUGGGGGUCGAGGUAGACAGGAUUGCAGAGUACCCAGUCGAGGACCACGGUUCAGAGGCAGCAGCAGGGACAGCGUGUGACCUAGGAGAUGAUGAGGAGCCGGAGGCUGCUGCUGCCUCUGAACCGAUUCCACCACCACCACCGACUGCUGCUGUCACCACUCCUCCUAUUGCCCCAGUGAGGACACAAAACAGAAAAAGGGAGACUGAGAUAGAGACCUUACUGCUGGAGGUGCUGAGGAAGCAGAACGCACCUGUGCCUCCACCUGUCCUCUCAGAGGAUGAGCACUUUUUAAAAGCAAUACUUCCUUCCCUGCAACGAUUGCCACCCAAUGCAAAGGAACAAAUUAAAUUCCAAAUGUAUACAUUAUUGCACGAGGCAAACUGUGUGUAUAAUCCUGUGGAGUUUAAUUUGAUCAAUCAAUUUGGACCAGUCGAUGACUAAGUUCUGGGGUGACAAUCGUUGAAGGGAAUGAUCCAUGCCC